rnacentral:rRNA from 1 species
AGAGUUUGAUCCUGGCUCAGAUUGAACGCUGGCGGCAGGCCUAACACAUGCAAGUCGAGCGGGGUUUUCGGACCUAGCGGCGGACGGGUGAGUAAUGCGUAGGAAGCUACCCGACAGAGGGGGAUACCAGUUGGAAACGACUGUUAAUACCGCAUAAUGUCUACGGACCAAAGUGUGGGACCUUCGGGCCACAUGCUGUCGGAUGCGCCUACGUGGGAUUAGCUAGUUGGUGGGGUAAUGGCUCACCAAGGCGACGAUCCCUAGCUGGUUUGAGAGGAUGAUCAGCCACACUGGAACUGAGACACGGUCCAGACUCCUACGGGAGGCAGCAGUGGGGAAUAUUGGACAAUGGGCGCAAGCCUGAUCCAGCCAUGCCGCGUGUGUGAAGAAGGCCUUCGGGUUGUAAAGCACUUUCAGCGAGGAGGAAGGGGUUGUAGUUAAUAGCUGCAAUCUUUGACGUUACUCGCAGAAGAAGCACCGGCUAACUCUGUGCCAGCAGCCGCGGUAAUACAGAGGGUGCAAGCGUUAAUCGGAAUUACUGGGCGUAAAGCGCACGCAGGCGGUUGGUUAAGUCAGAUGUGAAAGCCCCGGGCUCAACCUGGGAAUUGCAUUUGAAACUGGCCAACUAGAGUACGUGAGAGGGGGGUAGAAUUCCAAGUGUAGCGGUGAAAUGCGUAGAGAUUUGGAGGAAUACCAGUGGCGAAGGCGGCCCCCUGGCACGAUAC